rnacentral:rRNA from 1 species
ACGGGAGGCAGCAGUGGGGAAUAUUGCACAAUGGGGGAAACCCUGAUGCAGCGACGCCGCGUGAAGGAAGAAGUAUCUCGGUAUGUAAACUUCUAUCAGCAGGGAAGAAAAUGACGGUACCUGACUAAGAAGCCCCGGCUAACUACGUGCCAGCAGCCGCGGUAAUACGUAGGGGGCAAGCGUUAUCCGGAUUUACUGGGUGUAAAGGGAGCGUAGACGGAAGUGCAAGUCUGAUGUGAAAGGCAUGGGCUCAACCCGUGGACUGCAUUGGAAACUGUAUUUCUUGAGUGCCGGAGGGGUAAGCGGAAUUCCUGGUGUAGCGGUGAAAUGCGUAGAGAUCAGGAAGAACACCGAUGGCGAAGGCAGCUUGCUGGGGACUUAUCGACGCUCAUGCUCGAAAGUGCGGGUAGCAAACAGGAUUAGAUACCCUGGUA